GUGUCAGCAGCCGCGGUAAUUCGUAGGUGGCAAGCGUUAUCCGGAAUUAUUGGGCGUAAAGCGAGCGCAGGCGGAUUGAUAAGUCUCAUGUGAAAGCCUUCGGCUCAACCGAAGAACUGCAUCAGAAACUGUCAAACUUGAGUGCAGAAGAGGAGAGUGGAACUCCAUGUGUAGCGGUGGAAUGCGUAGAUAUAUGGAAGAACUCCAGUGGCAAAGGCGGCUCUCUGGUCUGUAACUGACGCUGAGGCUCGAAAGCAUGGGUAGCGAACAGGAUUAGAAACCCUAGUAGUCC
rnacentral:rRNA from 1 species